rnacentral:rRNA from 1 species
GAUGAACGCUGGCGGCGUGCCUAAUACAUGCAAGUCGAGCGAACGGACGAGAAGCUUGCUUCUCUGAUGUUAGCGGCGGACGGGUGAGUAACACGUGGAUAACCUACCUAUAAGACUGGGAUAACUUCGGGAAACCGGAGCUAAUACCGGAUAAUAUUUUGAACCGCAUGGUUCAAAAGUGAAAGACGGUCUUGCUGUCACUUAUAGAUGGAUCCGCGCUGCAUUAGCUAGUUGGUAAGGUAACGGCUCACCAAGGCAACGAUGCAUAGCCGACCUGAGAGGGUGAUCGGCCACACUGGAAUUGAGACACGGUCCAGACUCCUACGGGAGGCAGCAGUAGGGAAUCUUCCGCAAAGGGCGAAAGCCUGACGGAGCAACGCCGCGUGAGUGAUGAAGGUCUUCGGAUCGUAAAACUCUGUUAUUAGGGAAGAACAUAUGUGUAAGUAACUGUGCACAUCUUGACGGUACCUAAUCAGAAAGCCACGGCUAACUACGUG